GUGAGAAGAAACCGAACCAGACCGAAAAACCGAACCGAACCGAACCAAAAUUUGUUAUUUGGUUCGGUUUUUCGGUCAAAACGGUUUGGUUCGGUGUCAGAUAUGAAAAAGUGUGGAGAUCGGUCUUUGGUUCGGUUUGAGGUUGUCCCAAACCGAAAUAACCGAAAAACCGAUAACACCGAAUGAGGUCUGAUUCAGUUCAUUUUUUUAUCAAGGAGUAACCUAAUACUAUGCCGUUUCAAUAUUAUAUAUAAUCCUCCUUAAUAUUGUGAACCCUAUCUCUCAUUUCUUUUUUCUCUCUCUUGCGGCACUCUCUUAUUCUUCUUCUCUCCUUAUUCCUUUUGUUUUUCACCAUUGAAAACCCUAAUUUCCAAUUGAUUUCUUAAAUCUCUAACUAAUACCUUUUAAUUUAACACUCCACUUAAUCAUACAAUUUCCCUCAACGUUUAGCGUGGCGAUUCAAAGGAAGGCCAUCAUUUUCGCUUCUUCGAAUCUGUCAAUUUUUUUCAUAAAUGGAUAUUUGCUUGAAAUCCUUUUAAAAAAAAUCUACACCUCUAAACAAGAUCAAUUUGCUGAUGAUCCCUUUAAUUUCUUGAUGCUUCUGUUGAAUUAGACUUGUCAAUUUUUUGUAUUCAUCUCUUUUUAAUUUUUUGUUAGUAAUGAGUUAUAAUUUUAAUUUUGUGUCUGUAAUUUAUAUUAAGAUUUGUAAAGUAUGGGGUAUGAAUUUUUUUUAUGGAGUGUGAAUUUCUGUAUUCGUUUUUUAGUUUAUAAAUUUAUGGGUUUUACUUCUAA